UUUUUUUUGGGGGGGGGGGGAAAUAGGGGGAGGGGGAAAAAAAAAAUCCUCUGGCCGGUUUGUUGAAUGUAUAUAAGCUGCCUAGGCCUUUCUCAGCAAAACAACUUGAAUUGCAAAUGCGUAUUCUUGUGUCUUCGCUUAGCUUGUUGACUUUGUUGCUCUAUUCAGAAAGAGGAAUGGGAAUGUAAAUAACAAAACUGAAACUCUUCUUGUUUUUCCAGCCUGAUAAUUAGUAUUUCAGUUUUCUCCCCAGAUUCAUCUCGGGUAGCAUUCUUGUAUGAAGGUGGGAAAUUUUCUUUGGCAGUAGGAAAAUAAUAAAUAGAUAAUAAAUUUGCUUUUUAUUUCUUAAAUUGUUCUAUUCCAAGCUGUAAUUCAAUCUUCUCUCUGCGAUAAUGCUUACGGAUGAAUGGACCUAUUUGUGGUGUAAUUUGAUUACAGUCCCUUAUCUUACAGUUAAACUUAAUGCAUUGAAAUUUCACUCUGAUUUGGGGCUCAUCCCAUUUGGCUCACCACUGACGUUGUUUGCAGUGUAAAGCGUAUCAGCACCUUGUUUACUGCUGUCCCUGAAUACUCAACAGGGCAUUAAAGGCUCUUCAAUCUUAAAUUUCUAUUUUUAAUGUGUUAUUUCAUUAUAAUUGAAAGUGGUUACUGAUUUUUUGGAGGGGUUGUUGCUCCCCCUCCCGUGCUUAAAAUGUCACUGUUAACGUCAACAGUGAAAUCUUUAAAUCUGUCACUCCUAAUGCAUAGACUGGGUUUUAGUGAAUUUGUUUUUUAUUUUUUUAAGUUCAGGGAUGGUCCUGUUGUCUUUUUGUUUCACACUACAUUUCACAUCUUCAAUGUUAGAGAGCUGUGAAAGGGUUAGGACAGUAAGAUGAGCCCUUUGGGGUGUGAUACCUUGUCUUGCAUUUGGGUGCAGCACUUGACAGUUUGGUAUUGUCCCUGGUCACUGUGGUGUCUGGCCCUUUCCAUGCACAGUGAGUAUUGAUAAUCUUUCCCUAACUUUCACAGAAUCUCACUAGUCAGGAACAAAAACUGUUUGUGGAAAGGUUUGUUGGCAUGGGAAACUUCUAUUUAUUUCCCUUUUGUUUGUUUUGUUGUUUUUGCAGACAGUAGAGAUGCAGGGGAGAGAAGGGGAAACUUGUUUGUGUCAUUCCUAAGACAAGUGACAGUACUGAAACAUUGCUUUCUCGUGUGCUUUUUAUAUGCCCUGGGGCAAACAAGGUCCCUGCCCCACGGACCUUCUGCUUUGAUGAACACCAUGUGUAUGAGGAAGGUGAGGGUCUCUGGGAGAUGUAACUCCAUAAAUUUAUGAUCCCACUGUUUCUUUUUCCUCCUCCUUUAAGAAGUGAACGUGCCCAGGAAACAACAACUUUUUGUAUGGGUGCAAGACAAAUCUCCCCUCCCAACCACCCCAUCUGAAAAGGACCACUUGGGGGAUGAAAGGGGAAGGUGGCCUACAUCCCUGCUAAUCUUUUCUGAUGAGAGAGCAAAGAUGCCAGUUACUUACACCACCUACAUUUUUCCCAGUGAGACCUUAAACAGAGUUUUUACCUGUGCUGCAAGGCUGCCAAUAAGAAAUAAUGAUUUGUGGGACAGAGGUGAUCCAGAGAGGUGGCAAUGACAUCAUCAGUAUCCUUAUGUUAGUCAUGCAAGAAACUCUACAAUUUUUACAUAGGCUCUUCUGAGAAGUGUAUUGGAGUCUCUUUCAUGUUCUCAUACACCAGGGAAAAGGGCUGGAACAAUUUUUAAGUCUUGUAUGUUUUUCUUAAUCCUCUUGGGAAGGAAAAGUAACAAAUCUCCCUCUUUUUAUUUGGCCUUUUGCCACUUUCAGUCUGCCCUUGUUCAUGACACGAGUCUUUUAAUUUAGUUUCUGUUACAAUAGCAGUAUUUUUUGAACAAAGAACAGCAAUUUUGGAACUAUUUCGAUGGCCAGAAGCAAGAAAGCAGUUAACGAGGUGAAGAGGAAUUAAAUCUGAAUGGAGGGGGAGGAAGGACAGUCUUGGAUAAUGCUUGCACUGAGCCACCAGUGCACGCAGUAGGUAAAAGGAAGAGCGUAAUAGGACAAACAAGUGCUUAAAAUGUAUCUAUGCAUCAUUUGAGGACAUUCAAGAGAUCAGUAGUCUGUUUUCUUUGGUAUGAACUCAGACAAACAAAUGUCAUUUAUGCCCUUAUAUGAAGUACAGAUUGCUCUGCAACAUUGGAUGGUCAUCUGGCAAA